rnacentral:rRNA from 1 species
UAAUAUAAGAUUUCCCACCGCAAGGGUAAGACCCCAGAAAGACUAUCUGGUUGAUAGGUCGAAGGUGUAAGUGCAGCAAUGUAUUUAGCUUAUCGAUACUAAUAGGUCGAGGACUUGACCAAUAUU